UCUCUCUGUCCUUUAUGGAACCAUAAUGGUAUUAUCUCGAGGCCAGUCAUAUCAGUCUCGGUGUUUAUCGAGCACUUCGAUUUUCGAAGCUUGUACUUUGUCAUCAGGCUCUCGCUUCAUCUAUUUCGAUCUCGCUUUCGAAGUGAUUCUCGAGCUAACAAAAUUAGAUAUAUUUGAUUUCGGCCAUAUACAAGGCGCACGUAUUUGAAUCUGAACUUAACCAGCCUACUAUCUCAGACAAAAUUCAAGGGUCCUCUCGAUAAACAAAAAUAAGACCACAAUUAGGUAGAAAUUAUUAAACAGGACUAGGGAAAGAAAAGGCAGAUAUAAAGUCAUGCUAUGCGUACAAUUAUCAAACAAUCCUGACUGUCUGCAGUACAUCAAUAUUUUUUUUCAAGUCAAUAAUUUAAUACUCCAAGUCAGCGUUAAAAAAUAUGUAUAUAAACGUUGCGAAUAUGACUUAACCCGACCUUGAUUUAUUGAAUAUAUGUUAGUGCAAUUAAACCUGGCAAUAGUAAAGAGAAAAAUAAUAACCUCAGAAGCAAUAGUACAUCAGAAUUUCGAUCCCCUCCUCUCCUGAGGAGAACCUCUUCAAUUUAUGCCGCGGAGAAGGCGAACAAACAUAAGAACCUGAUGCCAUAGUCGCACAAGAUGGCUCAGGAAACUACAACACCAAAAAGGGUGCGCAAUCUCGGCAGCUCCAACCAACAACAUUGAAAAAUAUUACUAAACAGCAAUUCAAGUUGGGCUCUCCAUUAAACUCAACGAAUCCUUUUCAAUAUAUCAAAUGGUCGGCACAAAGUUGCAUACACCGUUUGAUAGUUCUAAGUUCCUUAUUUUCCUCUACUGUUGUUUGGUGCUGCGAGAUUGUACAAUAUUAUUGUAUUGAAGUUUCCGAGCCAUAUUGAGAGACUAUUUCAUGAAGUCAACUUUUUUGAUGCACGUUGUAAUUUUCCUACACAAUAAUAAAUCUGGUUAUUCAAGUCAACUUUAUACUGUCAAUAAAGAUUAAUUUAAAAUAACUAAAGAGUUGAGAUUAUAUUGUGUCUCAACACCACAACCUCAGCAAAAGAAGAUCUUAUGCAACUCUUAUUGUUAUUUACUUACUAUAUGUAUAAA
rnacentral:lncRNA from 1 species